CAAACAGACAUUUUUCCUGAAAUUGCAAAGACAAAAGCUUCAAUGAAAUAAAAGGGGCUGGAGAAUUCCUGCAAUGUAUUGCUUUAGCAGAGGAGGUCUUUCUGUCUUCUUCAAGUCCAAAGUAGGUCAAUAAUUGAGUAAGACAGCACUUACACUGGAGGUUUCAAGUUGCCCUACCACUUCUGAGGAUGCAUUUGCUGUAAGCAAUUACAGUCAUCACAGAUUACAAUUUUCACUUUGCUUUUCACAGGUUUGAAAGCCCCCUGACACAUCAUACCUCCCAGGGAAAAAAAUAACCACAUAAUUGCAAGUUCAGGUGCAACCUAUGGAAUAGUUCUCUCCUAAUCUCAAGGCCCCAUCAGGAGUGAAAUUUAGA
rnacentral:lncRNA from 1 species